rnacentral:lncRNA from 1 species
GGAGAGAGAGAGAGAGAGAGAGAGAGAGAAGUGUAUAGUGGAUUACAGGUAAAUGGGGAGUGUAUAGAAGUUACAAAGACAACUAAGGGGUUAGGGGUCCAAUCUUGUAUCCUCUUAUAUGGGUUUUCUUACAGAGAGAGAGAGAUGUGGUGGGCUGGAGAGAGGGAGAGAGAGAGAGAGAGAUGUAGUGGAAGGAGAAGAAAGGGAAGUAAAGGAAUGAACUUUUAAUUGCUUUAGUUAUCUUUGGUGUGAAGGAGAAGUGAAGAGAGUGAUGUUUGCAUUUUGGAGAAUAU